AUACCGGGCCUUUUUGGGCUUGGUAAUUGGAAUGAGGGAGAGUUAAACGGACCAUCGAGUAUCCAUUGGAGGGCAAGUCUGGUGCCAGCAGCUGCGGUAAUACCAGCUCCAAUAGCGUAUAUUAAAGUUGUUGCAGUUAAAAAGCUCGUAGUUGGACUUGUGUGCGCUGUCCGCGGGUGGCCUGCGCCCAAAAGGGCGUUUCGGUUCGGCCCCGGUGGCGCCUUGAAAUCUGCAGCUGGGGGGACGUUGGCCUUAACUGGUCGGCGACCGCACGCCGGCUGCUCGUUACUGUGAGAAAAUUAGAGUGUUCAAGGCAGGCAUUGGGUGCAAUUGAAUACAUUAGCAUGGAAUAAUAAAAUAUGGCUCCUGCCGUAUUUUGUUGGUUUUGACUGGUGGGAGUAAUGAUUGAUAGGGACGGUUGGGGGUGCUAGUAUUGAGCGGCCAGAGGUGAAAUUCAUGGAUUCGCUCAAGACUAACUUAUGCGAAAGCAUUCACCAAGGACGUCCUCUUUAAUCAAGAACGAAAGUUGGGGGAUCGAAGACGAUCAGAUACCGUCGUAGUCUCAACCAUAAACUAUGUCGACUUGGGAUCGGCGGUAGUUUUUUCAUUAAGACACUGUCGGGACCACGGGAGAAAUCAAAGUGUCUGGACUCUGGGGGAAGUAUGGUCGCAAGGCUGAAACUUGAAGGAAUUGACGGAAGGGCACCACCAGGAGUGGAGCCUGCGGCUUAAUUUGACCCAACACGGGGAAACUUACCAGGUCCAGAGAUGUAGAGGAUUGACAGAUUGAAGCUCUUUCUUGAUCACUUCGGUGGUGGUGCAUGGCCGUUCUUAGUUGGUGGAGUGAUUUGUCUGGUUAAUUCCGUUAACGAACGAGACCUCAGCCUGCUAGUGUAGUCGGCUGGAUUGCCUUUGGCGAUCCGUGAUUUCGACUUCUUAGAGGGACAAUCGACGCGCAGUCGAUGGAAGUUUGAGGCAAUAACAGGUCUGUGAUGCCCUUAGAUGUUCUGGGCCGCACGCGCGCUACACUGCUGGGCUCAGCGAGUUUUACUUGGCCGAGAGGCCCGGUUAAUCUUGUGAAAUCCCAGCGUGCUUGGGCUCGCCUCCUGCAACUGGAGGCGCCAACGAGGAAUUCCUAGUAGACGCAGGUCAUCAACCUGCAUCGAUUACGUCCCUGCCCUUUGUACACACCGCCCGUCGUUCCAUAAGAGUGAGGCAUCCGGUGAAUUCUCGGGAGAGCCUGGGCGUGGCCAGCAAUGGUCUGCUCGGGUUUGAACUUGCAUAAACUUGGUGCCUAUGAUUAGGG
rnacentral:rRNA from 1 species